GCGGGACGGGCGGGACCCGAGCGGUCGGAGGGACGGGCCCGCGGCGGAGCAGGGCGGCCGGUCGCCGGGCACGGGCCUUGCCUAGGCAGAAUCGCUCACGACGCCAAGUUCAAAACCUGGAAUUAUCGCAGAAAUGAAGGAGUUUUCACCUAAAUUUUGAGAGAGUACCUACAUGAAACAUUACUGAAUGGUAAUGAGCCACUAUGUCUUGCAUCUAAGUGAGGGCCAUGGUAAAUCCAAGACCAGUACUACAUUCUUUGAAGACCAGUCUUUGUCUUCAUGUCUUAAGUUUCUUUACCGAAACAGUAAGAUCAUCAGCUGUGCACCAGAAAUAGUACCACCAUGUGAAAAAUUCCAAGUGCUCCUAUGCCCCUUCCCAUUCCACCAGUUCAGACUCCCAUUGCUGUGAUAAAGCAGACCAGCAUUUCCCAUCUCCCAAGCAUGGUGCUGGAUAUUCCAAUGGCAUACAGCACCAGGUGGGCCAACAGUGAUAAAAUUCACCAAUACUAGGGGUUUCCUAAGAGUCAUUAAUAAUUGACCCAGACAGCAUAGGUCAUAAAACAUCAAUUAAAUUCAAUUUUAAAAAUGCCUAACAACUUUUCUAUGCUAAUUCUGUUGUACCAACCUCUACUACAAGUUAGAAAAAUUAGUUUCAUAAGCUGAGUAUUAAUUUCAAAUACUGUUAUACUGUGAAAGGGUAAAGACAGCUACUGCUGCUAAACUACAUACUUAAAUAGCUGCAAAACAGAUACCACAAUUUCAGCUUGUAAGAAAUCAGGUGAGUAACCACCACCGUACAUCCAAAGGUGUCCCUUAAGCACUGAACAUGGCUUCUUCUAUAGACUGCCACCUGCACAGCCUUGAGUGAUGGUCAAUGCUACAGCAUACAGAGAAAGUAAUCUGCCAAAGUGGCUGAUCCAGGGACUGAUUUUGUGGAAUUUCAAUAAUUUGAGAUGUGGACACUCACCUGUACAGGUUUUCAACCCUCCCUUCCAAUACUGUUUUAAGGCUACCCCUUCCAUAGACAGCAGCCAUGUUCUUUGGAGAACUUUAUUAAAAUAUAUCCAAGAAGUAAUCAAACAUUUUCUAAUGAGCCAGGAGAGAACUGAAGUGAGGAAAACACCUGUACAGAGGACAGUGCUGUAAUUUUUUGUUUACAUGCUUUAUUUCAAUGUUUCACAGUUUAAUCAUUGUCUACAAAAAUAUACUUCUGAAACUCUGAGUCCUCUAUAAAAAAAGCUGGUCAGCAGCAGUGACCCCGACAAACAGAAUGUACCUUGGGAUAGUGUGAGCACCUCCUGUAAGCAGAUUAGUGUGGCUAGGGAACUCCUACCUCACCCUGGGAGACUUUUGUUCUUUGGGAUUAAAGCUCUGCACUAGUUCUGAAGGAAGGCAUUAAAAAAAAAAGUCACUCCACUUCUGUAUACUGCACUAAGCUUGGGAGGGGGACCUGCAAGUUCAGUGUAUCACACAACAAGAGUGCUAAAAAAGCACUUGGCACUCAGGGAAAGACGACCUCAGGAUGCUUUAGUACCAGUAAAUUUUUCUUCGAGCUAUCUGUUCAGAACAGCCUUUGUCUGGUGAUAAUAGGUUCAGGCUGUCAGCAGAGGUACAAACAGCAUACAAGCAGAGUAAUACUAUAAAUGCAAAGAGAGUCCUUCUCUGAGGACAAGAGGAUGGUUCUGUUCAUUUUUACGUCAACACUUUCUGCUGUGGCUUUAACCAAGAGGAAAACUAGCAUCAUAUCCAAGAGCAAGUGUACAUUGUGUUGGAUAGAACAGAGCCACUAUCAAUACUGUCAGCUUCAACUCCUUGGUACCCAUAACUGUAAAUAUUUCUUACAUCAUCAAUCAUUUAAUUCCUAUGCUUACGAGUCACUAGUGUAUCUAGCCACCAAAAAUAUGAACUGAGAAACACAUGUUUCCCCCAAAUGAAUUUUUUUCUACUCUCCUCUGCUCAGUUAUUUCACUGUCUAUAAAGAUACUUGCAGUAACGAAGAAAAAAAAAUAAAUUGGCUCUUCUAAAAAAAUAAAUCUAUCUUGCAUUGUGCUCUAGAAAAGACAAGGUCAAUGUACUCUGAUCCUCAAAGCUCGUAAGUAGAAGCCCCUUACCACAAAAUAAUCUCAGUCCUGAACCUCUAAGAAGGGCAGGAAUUUUCAGCAGCAAAUAAAGUGUAGUUAUUGACAGACUGCUUCCCUAAUGUGGUAAUAGAAGAUGAGCUUUCUGAAAACUUUUCCACACCUGCCUGUCAGAAGAUCUUUCUGAGCCAGCAGCUUGUGAAAUCUGAAUUUCCUAGAGAGUACAGAAUUCAGGAGAGUGCUGAUGGUUAUUUUAGGUACACCUGCAAUCAAUGGGCUUCUGAGCUCCAGGUUUUUGUUCAGAAAAAGUUCUCCUGUAACUCAUGCCUACCACCAGUCUCAGUCUGAUCUGCUAGACCUGAGCAGCCAAGGAGGUAUAUGAAUUUGAAGUAGAAUCAGAAUCAUCCACAAAAACACAGAAGCCAAGAAUCUUCACUGAGACAAAUACCUUAUCAAAAAAAGAUACUCAGCACUAGAAAACUAGUAUUAUCUCACUAAUACUAAACAGCUAAAGUGUAAAAUUUGUAAGAAAACACCUGAAGUUUACUUCUUGACUAUUUUCCUUUCUUAAAUUGCUGGGGGGAGUGGAGAAGGGGAGGAGAAAGGAAUGAAUCACUGUAUUGGUAGUAAGCCACUAUAGAGAAGGCAGUAUUGGAAAAAAACAUUUAAACCAGAAAAAAAAAACAUCUGAGAACUUAGUUAUUCUGAAAGCUUUCCUUACCUUC